rnacentral:tRNA from 1 species
GCUGCGGUAGCUCAGUGGUAGAGCGGAGGAUUGCAGCUAUUCAUUAUCCUCAGGUCCUGUGUCCAACCCACAGUCGCAGCU